ACCUGGGUGGCUCAGUCGGUCGAGCAUCUGACUUUGGCUCAGGUCACGAUCUUGCGGUUUGUGAGUUCGAGCCCCGCCUCGGGCU
rnacentral:tRNA from 1 species